AUACGGAGGGUGCGAGCGUUAAUCGGAAUUACUGGGCGUAAAGCGUUCGUAGGCGGUUUGCUGAGUCUGAUGUGAAAGCCCCGGGCUUAACCUGGGAAUUGCAUUCCAAACUGCCGGACUAGAGUAUGGUAGAGGGAGGUAGAAUUUCCUGUGUAGCGGUGAAAUGCGUAGAUAUAGGAAGGAAUACCGGUGGCGAAGGCGGCCUCCUGGACCAAUACUGACGCUGAGGUGCGAAAGCGUGGGGAGCAAACAGGAUUAGAAACCCCGGUAGUCC
rnacentral:rRNA from 1 species